AUGAGGAAAAUAAAAAGAUGCACUGGUUUUCAUGGUGGAAGCUAUAUAUGUAUUCCCAAGUGUGAUGGUGGCAUGGGCUUUAGAGAUCUCCAUUCUUUUAACCUGGCACUCCUUGCAAAACAAUGUUGAAGAAUGAUAACUAACCCUGAAUCUGUUUGUGCUCACAUAUUGAAGGCAAAGUACUUUCCAAAUACUGAUUUAUUACAUGCAUGCCCAAAGAAUGGUUCCUCAUUCACCUGGCAGAGUAUUGUUGCUGGAUUAACUACUUUUAAAAGAGGGUACAUAUGGUGUUUUGGACCAGGGGAGAACGUGAAUAUUUGGACUGAUCCGUGGAUCCCCUCCGGUCCGGAUAGGAAAAAUUAUCACUCCUCGUGGACAUAUAGUGAUCUCUAA
rnacentral:rRNA from 1 species